rnacentral:rRNA from 1 species
GAUGAACGCUGGCGGCGUGCCUAAUACAUGCAAGUCGAACGAACGGACGCGACGCUUGCUUCUCUGAUGUUAACAGCGGACGGGUGAGUAACACGUGAAUAACCUACCUAUACGACUGGGAUAACUUCGAGAAACCGGAGCUAAUACCGGAUAAUAUUUUGAACCGCAUGGUUCAAAAGUGAAAUACGGUCUUGCUGUCACUUCUGGCUGGCUCCUCGCUGCAUUAGGUAGUUGGUAAGGUAACGGCUUACCAAGGCAACGAUGCAUAGCCGACCUGAGAGGGUGAUCGGCCACACGGGAACGGAGAGACGGUCCAGACCUCUGCGGGAGGCAACAGUAGGGAAGCUUCCGGAAGUGGCGAAAGCCGGACGGAGCAACGCCGCGUGAGUGAGGAAGGUCUUCGGAGCGUAAAACUCUGUUAUUAUGGAAGAACAUAUGUGUAAGUAACUGUGCACAUCUUGACGGUACCUAAUCAGAAAGCCACGGCUAACUACGUG